UCGAAUUGAUGGAAGUAUAUAGCUUUGAGUGACUAGUCGCUCGGGUAGCUGUGAGACUUAUAUGAUUUUUUUAUUCUUAUGGGAAUCACACUAACCGCCGGAGGUGCCGGGUUUGAUACGCAUCUUUUAGACCGAUCCGAUUUUUUUUUUCACCUCAAAACUAUCGCCUACUGAAUGUGGGGACUCUUAACUCUACCCUGAUCGCAUGGUCUCGCACCGGCCACGUAGCUCUCAAGUGUCUGCCUUAUCAACUUUCGAUGGUAGUUUAUAUGCCUACCAUGGUUGUAACGGGUAACGGAGAAUAAGGGUUCGACUCCGGAGAGGGAGCCUGAGAAACGGCUACCACAUCCAAGGAAGGCAGCAGGCGCGCAAAUUACCCACUCUCAGCACGAGGAGGUAGUGACGAAAAAUAACGAGACCGUUCUCUUCGAGGCCGGUUAUCGGAAUGAGUACAAUUUAAAGCCGUUAACGAGGAUCUAUGAGAGGGCAAGUCUGGUGCCAGCAGCCGCGGUAAUUCCAGCUCUCAAGUGUAUAUCGUCAUUGCUGCGGUUAAAAAGCUCGUAGUUGGAUUUAAGCUCGAUGACUCGGUCCAUCCAUAGGAUGAGAACUGAGCUCAUCGGCUAUCAUCGGCUGGUUUUGUCUAGGUGGCUUUAAACGGUCGCCUAGGCUGGCUAGCAAGUUUACUUUUGAAAAAAUUAGAGUGCUCAACGCGGGCUUAAUGCCUGAAUAGUCGUGCAUGGAAUAAUGGAAUAGGAUUUCCGUUCUAUUUUUGUUGGUUUUUUUAACCGAAAUUAAUGGUAAGAGGGACCGGACGGGGGCAUUCCGUUUCCGCUCCGUGAAAGGUGAAACUUCAUGGAACCGGUAGCGAAGAGGCCCGACCUGCGCUACCGCUAUUAGCCAAUGAUGUCGUGUCAUUAACCACGAAACCGAAAGACCAGAAGAUUCCGAAUGCCAUUAAGAUCCCCCGGCAUAGCUUCUUGACCGGUAAACAUGCGAC
rnacentral:rRNA from 1 species